UGUCAAUUAGGCUUUAUUGUACUAAUAGACACAGUAACGUGUUAACUACUGUUUGAUAGCGUUGUUGGUAGGAGCCGGGGAUAACACUGGCGUUUGAGCAACUUUCUACGGGCGGUUGACUACCGUGACACAAAGAAAACGAAGGAAAGAUAAAACGUGAUUUCGUGCGCACGAAUUAAAGAAAACGAGGGACCGAUUUAAAUAUUUCGUGCGCACGAUUUGUGCAUCGAUAUAAAGUUUUUUCCACCCCCUACUGGUGGCCCCUCCCGGGCUCCGUAGAUAAACACCUACAUCACGCACACACAAAUAUUCCCGAGUCAUUUAAAUUAAUUCAUUGAGAAUUUCUCAAAGGAAAGUUUCUCUUUCCUUCGUGGGGACCAUUCCGGUUGGAAACAGCUCGCAGGGUGAAAAAUGGCAGAUGACUCAACAGUGUACAGCACUCCAGGCACAGAUCUACUAUCAACAGAUUCCCCCCACUUGGCUCAAGGCUUAUA
rnacentral:lncRNA from 1 species